rnacentral:rRNA from 1 species
AGAGUGAACGCUGGCGGUAGGCCUAACACAUGCAAGUCGAACGGCAGCACGGUAAGAGCUUGCUCUUAUGGGUGGCGAGUGGCGGACGGGUGAGGAAUACAUCGGAAUCUACCUUUUUGGUGGGGGGAUAACGUAGGGAAACUUACGCUAAUACCGCAUACGCCCUUCGGGGGAAGCCGGGGACCAGCAAUGGCCUGCGCUGAUAGAUAGAGCCGAUGUCGGAUUAGCUAGUUGGUGAGGUAAUGGCUCACCAAGGCGACGAUCCGUAGCUGGUCUGAGAGGAUGAUCAGCCACACUGGAACUGAGACACGGUCCAGACCUCCUACGGGAGGCAGCAGUGGGGAAUAUUGGACAAGUGGGCGCAAGCCUGAUCCAGCCAUACCGCGUGGUGAAGAAGCCUGGUGUAAGUCCUUUAGUGGUAAAGAAAGACAUUCGUUAUACCGGUCGUUCUGACGUACCAAAGAAUAAGCACGGCUAACUCGUCG